CCUACGGGAGGCAGCAGUGGGGAAUAUUGGGCAAUGGGCGCAAGCCUGACCCAGCAACGCCGCGUGAAGGAAGAAGGCCUUCGGGUUGUAAACUUCUGUUCUGAGGGACGAAGAAAGUGACGGUACCUCAGGAAUAAGCCACGGCUAACUACGUGCCAGCAGCCGCGGUAAUACGUAGGUGGGAAGCGUUAUCAGGAUUUAUUGCGUGUAAAGGGCGUGUAGGCGGGAAAGCAAGUCAGAUGUGAAAACUCAGGGCUCAACGCUGAGCCUGCAUUUGAAACUGUUUUUCUUGAGUGCUGGAGAGGCAAUCGGAAUUCCGUGUGUAGCGGUGAAAUGCGUAGAUAUACGGAGGAACACCAGUGGCGAAGGCGGAUUGCUGGACAGUAACUGACGCUGAGGCGCGAAAGCGUGGGGAGCAAACAGGAUUAGAUACCCCAGUAGUC
rnacentral:rRNA from 1 species